rnacentral:rRNA from 1 species
CGGGUGAGUAACGCGUGAGGAACCUGCCUCAAAGAGGGGGACAACAGUUGGAAACGACUGCUAAUACCGCAUAAGCCCACGGCUCGGCAUCGAGCAGAGGGAAAAGGAGCAAUCCGCUUUGAGAUGGCCUCGCGUCCGAUUAGCUAGUUGGUGAGGUAAUGGCCCACCAAGGCGACGAUCGGUAGCCGGACUGAGAGGUUGAACGGCCACAUUGGGACUGAGACACGGCCCAG